GGUGGGGCGCGGGGACGCCCAGCGCCCGUACGCCCAGCGCAUCAGCUGCACCGAGCCCAGCAAGCCCAGCGCGCACUCCAGGUCCUGGAAUAAAGGUGGUAUGGAACAGAACAGCUGCCAACUUAUAAUGGACAUGGAUAUGAGAAAUAAUUCCUUGUUGUUGAAUGGAGUUCCUGGGCAUGUAAAUGUUCAACCACAGAAGAUAAAACGAAAUAUUUUACAAGAUGGCCUACUCAUUCCUACAAGUAAUUAACAACUGAACUUGGGAACACGCAUCCUCUCCAACACUUGGUAUUUGUAUUGAAUAACUUCUAUUUGCCCCUCCCCAUCAAUUCUGUACCCUUUUCACCCUACUCUAUGCCCCAGAGGCUGACCUGUAUGGAUUUCAUCAAUGUCAGAGAGAAAGAGAGUGCAAAUGGGGAAGGGGCAGAGAGAGAAGGAAAUACAGAAUCCGAAGCAGGCUCCAGGCUCCACGCCAUCAGCACAGAGCCAGAUGCAGGGCCUGAAGUCACAAACCAUGAGAUCAUGACCUGAGCCAAAGUCGGACACCCAACUGACUGAGCCACCCAGGAUCCCCCAAAGUAUAUAUAUUCUUGAUAUCAAUUCUUUAUUAGUUAUGUGUAUGGCAUAUGUUUUUUCCUAAUUUAUAACUUUUUUUUGUUUUAAAAUUUCAUUUGAUGGUGACUGAACACUUACAAUGGCCAAAUAUAUAAAUUGUUUAAUUUUUAAUCAACAAUUUGUGUGUUUUAUUUUAAGAAAUAUUUUCUUACCUCAAUGUCUAAAAGGUAU